UUCGCCUAAGGUCCUGUUCAUUUAGUAACCUUAAUGUUCUCUUAAAUCUCAGCAGGAUGAAUUUGACCUUACUACAAAGAGCUUUCUCCCCUGGCAUAUGCAAGUAAUUUCAUAUAAAGGGGGAAUGAAAAAGCUACUUCCAUUCAAAACCAAACAACAACAUGUCGACAGUGUUGGCCAGCUGUGAUGAGGAAGUACAGAUUGCAGUGAGGGGGCGGCCAUGUGCAUGUGUGUGACCCCCCCCCCAGCAUCACCAGGAUCCACUUACAGCAUGGCUGUGCAGGAUCCCUCAUGAACAAGUUCUGGCCCAAUUUCCUGAUCCUUUCCAAGGGCCAUAGGACUGAAAAGCCAAACCUGUGACCCACAUCCCCAGUUUGAUGACCGCCAGACAACAGGACAUGCCUGAGAAACUGGAAGAGAAUUGAGACUAAGUCAUACCAAGCUACUUUAUAUGUAUUUGCUCAAAGCCCCACUAUGCUGAGUGUACAGAACAGAGGGAAGCGUGUAGCUUUACAGCUAAUUUAUUCAUCAGUUUUAAUUCCUUAACAGAGUUGCAUGGCUGGCAAUUUUACUUCAGUUUAUAAAGCAUCCAUUUUUUCAGGAAAGCAAUCCGGAUUAAGGACUUUCUUUAUUAAAGGUUACCUGCCAGCUACCUGUGAUUGAGGGCCUUUGGAGUGUUUUCCAAGUCUGUCCAGAGGAAGGCCUGCAUGGUCUCAAACUGCAGACAACUCUGUCU
rnacentral:lncRNA from 1 species